CCUACGGGCGGCAGCAGUAGGGAAUAUUGCUCAAUGGGGGAAACCCUGAAGCAGCAACGCCGCGUGGAGGAUGAAGGUUUUCGGAUUGUAAACUCCUUUUGUUAGAGAAGAUAAUGACGGUAUCUAACGAAUAAGCACCGGCUAACUCCGUGCCAGCAGCCGCGGUAAUACGGAGGGUGCAAGCGUUACUCGGAAUCACUGGGCGUAAAGAGCGCGUAGGCGGGAUAACAAGGCAGACGUGAAAUCCGAUGGCUUAACCAUAGAACUGCAUUUGAAACUGUUAUUCUAGAGUGUGGGAGAGGUACGUGGAAUGCGUGGUGUAGCGGUAAAAUCCGUAGAGAUCAAGAGGAAUACUGAUUGCGAAGGCGACCUGCUAGAACACAACUGACGCUGAUGCGCGAAAGCGUGGGGAGCGAACAGGAUUAGAUACCCUAGUAGUC
rnacentral:rRNA from 1 species